AUUGCUAUGCAUGAUAAUGUACUGCUUUUAUAUCCCUGCUCAUAUUUUCUCUUUCUCUGCAUUGCUACCUAGUUACUCAUCCUUCAAAACUCAGUUCAGAGAUCAGCUCCUCCAAGAAGGCUUCUGUGGUUGUGGUUGGUGCUCUUUCCUACCAGUACCAGCUGUCCUGAGAGCACGUCUCUACAUCUCUACCUGCAUUCUGGAAACCGGGAGAAAGCCAAAACGGAUGACAAGACACUAGAUCAGCCGUGUCCAACCCUGUGACUACAAGGACUUUUCCGCCUAUCUUUGGUGAGACGGGGUCUCACUGUAUUGUCCAGGUUGGUCUCAAAC
rnacentral:lncRNA from 1 species